CCUACGGGAGGCAGCAGUGAGGAAUAUUGGUCAAUGGGCGGAAGCCUGAACCAGCCAAGUCGCGUGCGGGAUUAAGGCCCUAUGGGUCGUAAACCUCUUUUGUCCGGGAGCAAGGUCGACCACGUGUGGUCGUCUGGAGGGUACCUGCAGAUAAAGCAUCGGCUAAUUCCGUGCCAGCAGCCGCGGUAAUACGGAGGAUGCGAGCGUUAUCGGGAUUUAUUGGGUUAAAAGGGUGCGUAGGGGGGACCUUAAGUCAGCGGUAAAAUUUCGGGGCUCAACGGCGUAGAGCCGUUGAAACUGGGGCUCUUGAGUGAGCGAGAAGUAUGCGGAAUGCGUGGUGUAGCGGUGAAAUGCAUAGAUAUCACGCAGAACACCGAUUGCGAAGGCAGCAUACCGGUGCUUAACUGACGCUGAGGCACGAAAGUGCGGGUAGCGAACAGGAUUAGAUACCCGAGUAGUC
rnacentral:rRNA from 1 species